UACGUAGGGGGCAAGCGUUAUCCGGAAUCAUUGGGCGUAAAGGGUGCGUAGGCGGUCAAUAAAGUCAAGGGUGAAAGGCUACGGCUUAACCGUAGUAAGCCUAUGAAACUUAAUGACUUGAGUGCAGGAGAGGUAAGUGGAAUUCCUAGUGUAGCGGUGAAAUGCGUAGAUAUUAGGAGGAACACCAGUGGCGAAGGCGACUUACUGGACUGUAACUGACGCUGAGGCACGAAAGCGUGGGGAGCGAACAGG
rnacentral:rRNA from 1 species